GGUAGUAAAUUAAACCAAUAUGUAUUGGCGGUCUUUACAUAUUAAAGAAACUCGCUUUAUAAUCGUAAACACUCGAUAAAUUUAACUUUUUUUAAAAGUUUAUAUACCGCCGUUUCAGGGUUAAAAAAAUAACAAAUCCCUUAAAAUUUUAAGAUAGAAAAUCAGGUCAAGGUGUAACCAAUAAAAAAGAAAAAGUAAGUUACAUUAAAAAUAAUUUAAGGAUUUUAUACAAAAACAAAAAUAAAAAAGAAUUUAUAUGUAAGUUACAAUUAAAAUUUAAUACUGAACCAAUUAUUAAAGAUGC
rnacentral:rRNA from 1 species